UGGGGAAUAUUGCACAAUGGGCGCAAGCCUGAUGCAGCCAUGCCGCGUGUGUGAAGAAGGCCUUCGGGUUGUAAAGCACUUUCAGCGAGGAGGAAGGUGGUGAGCUUAAUACGCUCAUCAAUUGACGUUACUCGCAGAAGAAGCACCGGCUAACUCCGUGCCAGCAGCCGCGGUAAUACGGAGGGUGCAAAGCGUUAAUCGGAAUUACUGGGCGUAAAGCGCACGCAGGCGGUUUGUUAAGUCAGAUGUGAAAUCCCCGGGCUCAACCUGGGAACUGCAUUUGAAACUGGCAAGCUAGAGUCCCGUAGAGGGGGGUAGAAUUCCAGGUGUAGCGGUGAAAAUGCGUAGAGAUCUGGAGGAAUACCGGUGGCGAAGGCGGCCCCCUGGACGAAGACUGACGCUCAGGUGCGAAAAGCGUGGGGAGCAAAACAGGAUUAGAUACCCUGGUAGUCCACGCUGUAAAACGAUGUCGAUUUUGGAGGUUGUGCCCUUUGAGGCGUGGCUUCCGGAGCUAACGCGUUAAAUCGACCGCC
rnacentral:rRNA from 1 species